rnacentral:rRNA from 1 species
UACGGGGGGGGGCAAGCGUUGUUCGGAAUUACUGGGCGUAAAGGGCUCGUAGGCGGCCAACUAAGUCGGAUGUGAAAUCCCCAGGCUUAACCUGGGAACUGCAUCCGAUACUGGAUGGCUUGAAUCCGGGAGAGGUGAGUGGAACUGCGAGUGUAGAGGUGAAAUUCGUAGAUAUUCGGAAGAACACCAGUGGCGAAGGCGACUCACUGGACAUGUAUUGACGCUGAGGUGCGAAAGCGUGGGGAGCAAACAGG